AGUCAGGACACAGCAUGGACAUGAGGGUCCCCGCUCAGCUCCUGGGGCUUCUACUGCUCUGGCUCCCAGGUGCCAGAUGUGAUAUCCAGAUGACCCAGUCUCCAUCUUCCUUGUCUGCAUCUGCAGGAGACAGAGUCACCAUCUCUUGCCGGGCAAGUCAGAACGUUUAUAGUAAUUUAGCAUGGUAUCAGCAGAAACCAGGGAAAGCCCCUAAGCUCCUGAUCUAUGCUGCAUCCAGUUUGCAAAGUGGGAUUCCUGAUCUAUGCUGCAUCCAGUUUGCAAAGUGGGAUUCCCUCUCGGUUCAGUGGCAGUGGAUCUGGGACGGAUUUCACUCUCACCAUCAGCAGCCUGCAGCCUGAAGAUUCUGCAACUUAUUAUUGUCAACAUUAUUAUGAUACCCCUCCCACAGUGUUACAAGCCAUAACAUAAAC